GAUGAUACCACAUAUUUAGGUAUCGAUCCGAUACAAAGUAGUUACAGGAUCAUACAUUGGUCAUAUUUUAAGUCCUCAUGUGUCCAGGGACGUAGUUCCUGCGUUUAUGAAUAUAAUAUGAAUUUUAAAAGGAAAAAAUAAUUUGUGACGAUAAAAAAUAUCGAUGUAAUCACAGUAGUAUCGACUAGUGGUUAGCGUGUCCGCCCUGAGAUGGGUAGGUUGUGAGUUCAAACCCCGGCCGAGUCAUACCAAAGACUAUAAAAAUGGGAGCCAUUACCUCCCUGCUUGGCACUCAGCAUCAAGGCUUGGAAUUGGGGGUUAAAUCACCAAAAAUGAUUCCCGGGCGCGGCCACCGCUGCUGCCCACUGCUCCCCUCACCUCCCAGGGGGUAAUCAAGGGUGAUGGGUCAAAUGCAGAGAAUAAUUUCGCCACACCUUGUGUGUGUGUGACAAUCAUUGGUACUUUAAAUACACUCUUGUACUUGGUAUCAUUACAGUGGAUGUCAGGUGUAGAUCCACCCAUGGCGUUUGUUUACAUUGUGACGCCGGUGAGCUAUUGUAUCCUCCUACGGUGUGUAGUGAAGCAUGUUUAGCUAUUCCUCGUCCUCCAGUGAUAAUGAUACAUGUAAGAAACUUACUUUAUUUGUCGCCACGGAGGCCAGGAUUAGUGAUUUAGAAGUAGUGGUCAUAGUUUAAGUCCUCAUGUGUCCAGGGACGUAGUUCCUGCGUUUAUGAAUAUAAUAUGAAUUUUAAAAGGAAACAAUUAUUUGUGACAAUAAAAAAUAUCGAUGUAAUCACAGUAGUUUCGACUCAAUACGCUCUUGUACUUGGUAUCAUUACAGUGGAUGUCAGGUGUAGAUCCACCCAUUUGUUUACAUUGUGACGCCGGUGAGCUAUUGUAUCCUCCUGCGGUGUGUAGUGAAGCAUGUUUAGCUAUUCCUCGUCCUGCAGUGAUAAUGAUACUUGUAAAUGCGUCCGUUCUCCCUUUUCUGUCUACACACUGUAUCUGCUUGUAAGUACUCUGUGUGUGUGCGCUGCCGAACAUGCUCGUCUGCUCGUAAAACCAGCAAUGUCGCAACAGGAUGACCCGCCACCAUGCCCGUAAAAAAAUAAAUAUGGCGAACCGGUACUUUUCAAACAGAGUAUAGUACAGUUUUUGAUUCAUUAGUACCGCAAUGCUAUACUAGUACCGUACAACCCUAGUUGUCACGAAUCAAUAUUUACAGUGGCGACUUUGAAAUGGAAGUAAAUAUCGCGCGUAAAUGACUGUUUACUUAUUUGUGGAUACUUUCUGCCCACAUGUGAUCGUCCUUGAUGAGCCUCCCCUGUGCACACCAGCACACCCGCGUCUCUCUGUGUCAGCCAAUCAGCUUCCAGCAUGGCCUCGCCUCCACACCCACCUGAGUCUCAUCCGUCCAGUUCCCCGGUUUUGAAGAUCCAGGCAACUGACCUCUUCAACUGUUUCCAGUCAGAGAAAUAAGUGAUCAGUUGUGUCCUCCGCUGGAAUCCCAAACUCCAAGAUAUCAGCUGGCCACUCUUGCUCUGGUUUCUUCAGAAACUCAGGGCCUUCUCUCCAUCCUUUGUGAGUCAGUAACUCAUCCACUUUAACUCCUCUGUACUCUGCGCCACUAUCAAAUACCACACGCAGAGUUCCUUUUUUGGGGUGGCACACCCCAUGGUGGGAAAUGUACCCCACCUUCCCAUCUGAACGGUCCACUUGCUCUUCAGGGACACGCUCUGCAUAACCUUUACUGAUUACAUCAUUGAGAAAGGUAGUAUAUUCUCUGUGAAAUCUUUCAUCUUUCCCAAACCUCCUUUUCAGACCAAGUAUGCGUUGCCUAGCAACACACUGAUUGUUGGACAGAGACACAUCAUCCUUCCUUUUAAAGGGCAGUUCCAAAGUGUAGUGUCCAUCUUGAAGCUUGCAUGAAUCAGUCAUGACCUUCAUGUCAUCUCUACACAUUUCUUCUUUGUCUUCUGAUGACCUGUCGUUAAAAUCAUGGUUAUAUUGAUUGUGCAGCAGCUCCACCAGCUUUGUUAUGGAGAUCCUGUUGACAGUAGUUGUGGAGCAGCCAAUCUUCCUCCUCUUCUCACUGUAGUCAGGAAGGCCAUUAAUGACCCACCCUAAUAGGGUC